AGGAAAUAGAUACCCUGGUAGUCCACGCCCUAAACGAUGUCGACUGGUUGUUGGGGGUUUGACACUCUCAGUAAACGAAAGCUAAACGCGUGAAGUCGACCGCCUGGGGAGUACGGCCGCAAGGUUAAAACUCAAAGGAAUUGACGGGGACCCGCACAAGCGGUGGAUUAUGUGGAUUAAUUCGAUGCAACGCGAAAAACCUUACCUACCCUUGACAUGUCCGGAAGGCUGCUGAAAGGCGGCUGUGCCCGAAAGGGAACUGGAACACAGGUGCUGCAUGGCUGUCGUCAGCUCGUGUCGUGAGAUGUUGGGUUAAGUCCCGCAACGAGCGCAACCCUUGUCAUUAGUUGCUACCCGCAAGGGAGCACUCUAAUGAGACUGCCGGUGACAAACCGGAGGAAGGUGGGGAUGACGUCAAGUCCUCAUGGCCCUUAUAGGUAGGGCUUCACACGUAAUACAAUGGCGCGUACAGAGGGUUGCCAAGGAGCGAUCUGGAGCCAAUCCCGUAAAGCGCGUCGUAGUCCGGAUUGCAGUCUGCAACUCGACU
rnacentral:rRNA from 1 species